AGCUCCAAUAGCGUAUAUUAAAGUUGUUGCAGUUAAAAAGCUCGUAGUUGGAUUUCGGGAUGGGCCAGUUGGUCGGCCGCAAGGUCUGUUACUGACUGGUUUGUUCUUCUUCGCAAAGACUGCGUGUGCUCUUUACUGAGUGUGCGUAGGAUUUACGACGUUUACUUUGAAAAAAUUAGAGUGUUCAAAGCAGGCUAUCGCUUGAAUACAUGAGCAUGGAAUAAUGGAAUAGGACUUUGGUUCUAUUUUGUUGGUUUCUAGGGCCGAAGUAAUGAUUAAGAGGGACAAUUGGGGGCAUCCGUAUUUCGUUGUCAGAGGUGAAAUUCUUGGAUUUACGAAAGACGAACAACUGCGAAAGUACUUGCCAAGAGUGUUUUCAUUAAUCAAGAACGAAAGUAGG
rnacentral:rRNA from 1 species